GAGAGAUGGCUCAGCGGUUAAGAGCAUUGCCUGCUCUUCCAAAGGUCCUGAGUUCAAUUCCCAGCAACCACAUGGUGGCUCACAACCAUCUUAAAUGAGGUCUGGUGCCCUCUUCUGGCCUGCAGGCAAACACACAGACAGAACAUUGUAUACAUAAUAAAUAAAUAUUUAAAAAAAAAAAA